rnacentral:rRNA from 1 species
GACGAACGCUGGCGGCGUGCUUAACACAUGCAAGUCGAACGGAAAGGCCCUGCUUUUGUGGGGUGCUCGAGUGGCGAACGGGUGAGUAACACGUGAGUAACCUUCCCUUGACUUUGGGAUAACUUCAGGAAACUGGGGCUAAUACCGGAUAGGUGCUCCUGCUGCAUGGUGGGGGUUGGAAAGCUUCGGCGGUUGGGGGUGGACGCGCGGCUUAUCAGCUUGUUGGUGGGGUAGUGGCUUACCAAGGCUUUGACGGGUAGCCGGCCUGGGAGGGUGACCGGCCACAUUGGGACUGAGGUACGGCGCAGAGUCGUACGGGAGGCAGCAGUGGAGAAUAUUGUACAAUGGGGGGAAGCCUGAUGCAGCGACGCCGCGUGCGGGAUGACGGUCUUGGUGUUGUAAACCGCUUUCGCCUGUGACGAAGCGUGAGUGACGGUAAUGGGUAAAGAAGCACCGGCUAACUACGUG